rnacentral:rRNA from 1 species
GCCUAUAACAUAGCAUUAAUGCAAUGGAUCCCAUUAGAACUCCAUAGUUAAGCGCACUAAGGCUGGAGUAGUACUAGGAUGGGUGACCGCCCGGGAAGUCCGAUAUGCC